CAGUCGAGCGGAACGAGUUAUCUGAACCUUCGGGGGACGAUAACGGCGUCGAGCGGCGGACGGGUGAGUAAUGCCUAGGAAAUUGCCCUGAUGUGGGGGAUAACCAUUGGAAACGAUGGCUAAUACCGCAUAAUACCUACGGGUCAAAGAGGGGGACCUUCGGGCCUCUCGCGUCAGGAUAUGCCUAGGUGGGAUUAGCUAGUUGGUGAGGUAAUGGCUCACCAAGGCGACGAUCCCUAGCUGGUCUGAGAGGAUGAUCAGCCACACUGGAACUGAGACACGGUCCAGACUCCUACGGGAGGCAGCAGUGGGGAAUAUUGCACAAUGGGCGCAAGCCUGAUGCAGCCAUGCCGCGUGUGUGAAGAAGGCCUUCGGGUUGUAAAGCACUUUCAGUCGUGAGGAAGGUAGUGUAGUUAAUAGCUGCAUUAUUUGACGUUAGCGACAGAAGAAGCACCGGCUAACUCCGUGCCAGCAGCC
rnacentral:rRNA from 1 species